AAAAAGAGAACUUAUAUUCAUAUUUUCUCAUAUGGGGAAAUUCUUUAAGCCUUCCCAUAAUUCUUUUCAGCUCAAAAAGAAAGAGAAAAAUGUAUUUACAUUGUGUCGCAAUUCCUCAAACAAAAUUUUGCAAUCUUCAGUGAAUGGCUCUAAGAGCCGUCUCUUAUGAUCUAUUCAAGCUUCAAGUGACUAGUCUAAAAGUUUCUUCCCUGCAUGGAAUUGUCAAGCCACCCAUUGGAUGAUGAAAACCGAACUCCUCUUCAGCUUUAACUAGCAAAUCCUGAAAUGAAGGCUGGUUCAAGUAGGAGACUGGAACCAGAAAUCGCUUCUUCUCACUCUCACAAACAUAAAUUGUUACGAAACCUUUCGGUACAUCUAAAGACCUUGAAGCAGAUUUGCUUGUUGACCACCGGAGACUUUGCUUAAGAAGAACUGCAGGAAAACGAAUAACCAUAGUAUAAGUUAUUGAUGAAUCUUUGUGGAAGAAAUUAAAUCAAGUGGUUUGUUGUUCAAGGAAUUGAAGUGGUUCCAAUGGAGGAUGUGAAAACUUGAGAUAUGAAUUAGUCGCAACCAAAGUAAGUGAAUACAUAUGGUUGGAAGUGUCAUAGAAAAUCCUGGGUUAGUGGCCAAGAUUCAUUGGCUGGGGUAUGCUUACGACAUAGCUCACAUCUUCCAAGCAAUGGGAUUGAAGUAAUUUUUGCUUCAUUUUGUUGAAGAACAAAAGGCCUACAAGCACAAAUAGUGAGAAGAGCCAAUGGAGGACCAGAAAAAGAUUGGAAAUAGACAGA
rnacentral:misc_RNA from 1 species